GCAAGUCGAGGGGUAUAUGUCUUCGGAUAUAGAGACCGGCGCACGGGUGCGUAACGCGUAUGCAAUCUGCCUUUUACAGAGGGAUAGCCCAGAGAAAUUUGGAUUAAUACCUCAUAGCAUUGCAUGAUGGCAUCAUCGAGCAAUUAAAGUCACAACGGUAAAAGAUGAGCAUGCGUCCCAUUAGCUAGUUGGUAAGGUAACGGCUUACCAAGGCUACGAUGGGUAGGGGUCCUGAGAGGGAGAUCCCCCACACUGGUACUGAGACACGGACCAGACUCCUACGGGAGGCAGCAGUGAGGAAUAUUGGACAAUGGGCGCAAGCCUGAUCCAGCCAUGCCGCGUGCAGGAUGACGGUCCUAUGGAUUGUAAACUGCUUUUGUACGAGAAGAAACACUCCUAUGUAUAGGAGCUUGACGGUAUCGUAAGAAUAAGGAUCGGCUAACUCCGUGCCAGCAGCCGCGGUAAUACGGAGGAUCCAAGCGUUAUCCGGAAUCAUUGGGUUUAAAGGGUCCGUAGGCGGUUUAAUAAGUCAGUGGUGAAAGCCCAUCGCUCAACGGUGGAACGGCCAUUGAUACUGUUAAACUUGAAUUAUUAGGAAGUAACUAGAAUAUGUAGUGUAGCGGUGAAAUGCUUAGAGAUUACAUGGAAUACCAAUUGCGAAGGCAGGUUACUACUAAUGGAUUGACGCUGAUGGACGAAAGCGUGGGUAGCGAACAGGAUUAGAUACCCUGGUAGUCCACGCCGUAAACGAUGGAUACUAGCUGUUGGGAGCAAUCUCAGUGGCUAAGCGAAAGUGAUAAG
rnacentral:rRNA from 1 species